rnacentral:rRNA from 1 species
UACGUAGGGGGCUAGCGUUGUCCGGAUUUAUUGAGCGUAAAGAGCGUGUAGGCGGCCAGGUAGGUCUGGUGUGAAAACUCGAGGCUUAACCUCGAGAUGUCAUCGGAAACCAUCUGGCUAGAGUCCGGAAGAGGAGAGUGGAAUUCCUGGUGUAGCGGUGAAAUGCGCAGAUAUCAGGAAGAACACCAAUGGCGAAAGCAGCUCUCUGGGACGGUACUGACGCUGAGACGCGAAAGCGUGGGGAGCGAACAGG